UGAGUCCUGAUGUGUUCGUCUUUUCUUAUCGUUUUGACCGAACAUUAUGUAUUCGGGAGCUUGACGUUUCAAUAUGGCGUGCAAGCCUCAUUAUGGAAGGUAUAGGUAAUGAGAGGAAGCAUAAAGUAUUGAACAGAGCACCCACCUGCUUGGAAGCGGGAUCAAAACGCAUGAAUUCAAGACGGCAUAAUUGGGAUUUAU
rnacentral:other from 1 species